rnacentral:rRNA from 1 species
GAUGAACGCCGGCGGCGUGCUUAACACAUGCAAGUCGAACGGAAAGGCCAGUGCUUGCACUGGUACUCGAGUGGCGAACGGGUGAGUAACACGUGGGUGAUCUGCCCUGCACUUCGGGAUAAGCCUGGGAAACUGGGUCUAAUACCGGAUAGGACAAUGGUUUGGAUGCCGUUGUGGACAGUUUUUUCGGUGUGGGAUGAGCUCGCGGCCUAUCAGCUUGUUGGUGGGGUAAUGGCCUACCAAGGCGUCGACGGGUAGCCGGCCUGAGAGGGUGUAGGGCCACAUUGGGACUGGAAGACGGGCCAGAGUCGGGAGGGAGGCAGCAGUGGGGAAUAUUGCACAAUGGGAGCAAGCCUGAGGCAGCGAGGCCGCGUGGGGGAUGGCGGCCUUCGUGUUGUAAACUCCUAUCGCUAGGGAAGAAGCGUAUUUGUGACGGUACCUGGAGAAGAAGCACCGGCUAACUACGUG